rnacentral:rRNA from 1 species
GACGAACGCUGGCGGCGUGCUUAACACAUGCCAGUCGAACGGGCCCGCUCUCUUUUUUGGGGGUGGGUUGAGUGGCGAACGGGUGAGUAUCCCGUGAGUAACCUGCCCCCUGCUCCUGGAUAACUGCUUGAAAGGGCGGCUAAUACGGGGUGUGCCGGCUGGUCCGCAUGGGCCUGGUCGGGAUAGUUUCAUCUUCGGGUGUUUCGGUGGGGGAUGGGCUCGCGGCCUAUCAGCUUGUUGGUGGGGUGAUUGCCCACCAAGGCGGUGACGGGUAGCCGGCCUGAGAGGGUGGGCGGCCACACGGGGGCUGGGACACGGCGCAGACGCCUGCGGGAGGCAGCAGUGGGGGGUAUUGCACAAUGGGCGGAAGCCUGAUGCAGCGACGGCGCGUGAGGGAUGGAGGCCUUCGGGUUGUGAACCUCUUUCUCCGGUGGUGAAGGCCCUGUCCGUUGCGGCGGGGUUGACGGUAGCCGGGGAUGAAGCGCCGGCUAACUACGUG